rnacentral:rRNA from 1 species
AUGCGGCAACCACCAGGAUAUGAGGACCAAAGUAAACCACAUUAUGUCUGUAAGUUGGAUAAAGCUUUGUAUGGUUUGAAACAGGCCCCGAGAGCUUGGUACUCAAGAUUGAACAUGCAACUACAACAACUUGGGUUUACACCAUCUAAAGCAAAUACCUCAUUGUUCUUUUACAAUAGAGAUAAUAUCACUAUAUUUGUGCUUGUCCAUGUUGAUGAUAUAAUUGUUGCUAGUUCAAGUUCACAUGCUACCACUUGUUUGCUUAAAGAUCUGAAGUUGGAGUUUGCUCUCAAGGACUUAGGUGAUCUUCAUUACUUUCUUGGCAUAGAAGUUAAUCAUAUAAAGGAUGGUAUACUUCUCACACAGGAAAAUACACCACUAACAUACUCAGCAGAGUAG